AAUCAACGCUGGCGGCGUGCCUCAGACAUGCAAGUCGAACGCGAAAGUUUCCUUCGGGGAACAAGUAGAGUGGCGCACGGGUGAGUAACACGUAGGUAAUCUACCUUUGGAUGGGGAAUAACAACCGGAAACGGUUGCUAAUACCGCAUAAUGCAGCGGCACCUAAUGGUGACAGUUGUUAAAGCGGGGGAUCGAAAGACCUCGCGUCUGAAGAGGAGCCUGCGGCGGAUUAGCAGUUGGUAAGGUAAUGGCUUACCAAGGCUACGAUCCGUAACCGGCCUGAGAGGGGCGGUCGGUCACACUGACACUGACAUACGGGUCAGACUCCUACGGGAGGCAGCAGUCGGGAAUUUUGGGCAAUGGGCGAAAGCCUGACCCAGCGAUGCCGCGUGUGUGAAGAAGGCCUGCGGGUUGUAAAGCACUUUCAGUAGGGAAGAAAAGCCGAGUGCUAAUAUCACUCGGUCUUGUACGUUACUUACAGAAGAAG
rnacentral:rRNA from 1 species